UACGUAGGGUGCAAGCGUUAAUCGGAAUUACUGGGCGUAAAGCGUGCGCAGGCGGUUUAGUAAGACAGGCGUGAAAUCCCCGGGCUCAACCUGGGAACUGCGCUUGUGACUGCUAAGCUAGAGUAUGGAAGAGGGGGGGUAGAAUUCCACGUGUAGCAGUGAAAUGCGUAGAGAUGUGGAGGAAUACCGAUGGCGAAGGCAGCCCCCUGGGCCAAUACUGACGCUCAUGCACGAAAGCGUGGGGAGCAAACAGG
rnacentral:rRNA from 1 species